rnacentral:rRNA from 1 species
UACGUAGGGUGCGAGCGUUGUCCGGAAUUAUUGGGCGUAAAGAGCUUGUAGGCGGUUUGUCGCGUCUGCUGUGAAAUCUCAAGGCUCAACCUUGAGCUUGCAGUGGGUACGGGCAGACUAGAGUGUGGUAGGGGAGACUGGAAUUCCAGGUGUAGCGGUGAAAUGCGUAGAUAUCUGGAGGAAUACCGGUGGCGAAGGCGGCAUCCUGGACCGGCAUUGACGCUGAGGAGCGAAAGCUAGGGGAGCAAACGGG